AGAGUUUGAUCCUGGCUCAGGACGAACGCUGGCGGCGUGCCUAAUACAUGCAAGUCGAGCGGAUCUUUGGGAGCUUGCUCCCAAAGAUUAGCGGCGGACGGGUGAGUAACACGUGGGCAACCUGCCUGUAAGACUGGGAUAACUCCGGGAAACCGGGGCUAAUACCGGAUAAUUCUUUUCCUCUCAUGGGGACAAGCUGAAAGACGGUUUCGGCUGUCACUUACAGAUGGGCCCGCGGCGCAUUAGCUAGUUGGUGAGGUAACGGCUCACCAAGGCAACGAUGCGUAGCCGACCUGAGAGGGUGAUCGGCCACACUGGGACUGAGACACGGCCCAGACUCCUACGGGAGGCAGCAGUAGGGAAUCUUCCGCAAUGGACGAAAGUCUGACGGAGCAACGCCGCGUGAGCGAUGAAGGCCUUCGGGUCGUAAAGCUCUGUUGUUAGGGAAGAACAAGUAUCGGAGUAACUGCCGGUACCUUGACGGUACCUAACCAGAAAGCCACGGCUAACUACGUGCCAGCAGCCGCGGUAAUAC
rnacentral:rRNA from 2 species